rnacentral:misc_RNA from 1 species
UCAGCGGGUACCCCUACCUGAUCCGAGGUCAAUCUAGAGAUGUGGUGAAGUCUGAAUAGGCUCAACAAUGUAACUUUGCAAUGUUUCUACGAUGCAGGCUCCACAGUUGGACCACCAGACGGUCGCUUAUAGGGACGUCCGGCAAGACGAUCCCCAACGUCAGCACUUAGCUGUUCGUUCGAAAUGACGCUCGGGCAGGCAUACUUGGGCGGUAACCCAAGUGCAAUGUGCGUUCAAAGAUUCAAUGAUUCACUAGAUUCUGCAAUUCACAUUACUUAUCGCAUUUUGCUGCGUUCUUCAUCGAUGCGGUAACCA